GGUGCUCCAUCCCUUCAGCCUGGCCCAGAGGAUGAAAUGUGGGACGGGACUGCGCCCCGACAUGCUGCAGGCUGUGAGCUCCUAGAGGCCCCCUCUGCUGUCCCAGGAAUGGCCACCUGAGCCCGAGGCUAUCCUUCUAAAGAGAAGAUCCCUGAGCGCAAGUGUGCUGGGCUUUAUGGCUGAGAUAAGCGCCCAGGCAAACUGCAUCAGACCCCACAUUUGCGGGCAGCCAGCUCUGUGCGAGCACACGACCAGAGGCUCCGGAAGAAAUGCAGAA